AGGGAAACCACUAAUGAGAGGAAGGACAGCAGGUGGGGAGCUGGACAACAUCCUUUGCCAUGGCAAGCCUGAUAAGGGCUCAGUGCACUCAUCAUUGUUUCGCUGUUUUUCAUCUUCGAGAGGCUUGGGCUGCUCCCCCUUGCUGGAGACUGACAAAGGGCCAGCCAGCCUAAAAGAAGAGUGGAUUUUUUCCCCAGCUAUGUUGGUUGGCUUCAAAAAAGACAUUGUGUCUCUUUGCAUGUCUUGCUGCACUGGGUAGACACCCAGAGGAGAAAAGGCUGAAACAGAAGAAGGAUAAGUUUGUUUUCAUUCCUUACUAGCUGUGCAUGGGACAUUCAAACAUCUCCAAGGCAUGAGAGUCAAUCUUGUGCUGCAGAUAUUGACCAGCUAACUUUUCUUAAGGAACUGGGGCAUAGAUCCAGCGUGGCUGUCACCAACAAUAUCAAUGAAGGGUCCAUCUAUGUCCACAAUCAUGAGACUCUUGUCUGCAAGGACUGUGUAAAUCCUGUCUGUGAACACUGCUAGUCACCAGGUCCAAAGCAUUAUGGAUUUCUCUUUGGACUGUGUAGCAGCUUGGGAAACAAAAGCAACUUCUGGACCAGCAGUUCUAAGAGACCUUUCAUGGAGAACAUCCAAGAAAGUCUCUUCAUGUUUAUUCCAAAUUUCAUCUGAGGAGACAUCAAUAUGGGCUUUGGAACAGAGGAUCCCAAUGACAUCAGCAGCAACAGCCCAGAGAACAACUUUCAGCCUCAUCUGCUUUUAGAAGUUAUUUGUAAACUUCCUUGCAGUUGUAGGCAUGUUUGGUGAUCUUCACUAUCAUUCCCUUUCCCUGCAGGUAUACUCUGGUUUUUUGCCUUUUAAUCAUAGUUCCUGCAGUUUGUCAAAGGGUACUUCAAAAUAUCUAUUAACAGAGGGUGUAGAAUAAAAUUCAUCCCUGGGCUGUCUGUGUUUGUUAAGGAAUAGCUGUGAUAGCUGAAGAAACUCUGUCUCAUCUUGAGUUCCUUGGUCCUGAAUUGUCAAAACCACCAGUGCCUGAGAAGCUCGGCUGGCUUUCUCCUGUGGUCCUUUCUGCUUCUUUCUUCAGGCUGUGCUGGGUUUGGAAGACAGCCCUGGAAAAUACAAGUCUUCUGGGUCAGGGAAAGGGAAUGGGCUCUCUCUUUCCACCUGAAGUCUGCUCAUUCCUAAAACCUAAUACUCAAAUCCUUCGCUUGAAUUCUGAUGGGCAAGAUCUCAUGAACUGGGGAAUUCCCUGGGGAUUUUUUCCCCCAGUAUGAGCAGAGACUCUGGGCUCUCAAUGAGCAGUGUGGUGAGCACUGGUUGCAAACCACAAGGGUUAAGUGGCUUGUCAGAUCAUGGGCGGCAAGAAACUGCUGCAUGUGUGUGGUCUUCCUGGUUCACACUCAAGUGUUUUACCAAACAAAACCCCA